AUGCAAGUCGAACGGAGUUAUGAUGUGAGCGGGAAGUGCUUGCACAGCCCAAUCUUUUCAUAACUUAGUGGCGGACGGGUGAGUAACGCGUGGGUAACCUGCCCUGUACUGGGGGACAACAGUUGGAAACGACUGCUAAUACCGCAUAAGCGCACGGGAUCGCAUGAUCGAGUGUGAAAAACUCCGGUGGUACAGGAUGGACCCGCGUCUGAUUAGCUGGUUGGUGAGGUAACGGCCCACCAAGGCAACGAUCAGUAGCCGGCCUGAGAGGGUGAACGGCCACAUUGGGACUGAGACACGGCCCAAACUCCUACGGGAGGCAGCAGUGGGGAAUAUUGCACAAUGGGGGAAACCCUGAUGCAGCGACGCCGCGUGAGUGAAGAAGUAUUUCGGUAUGUAAAGCUCUAUCAGCAGGGAAGAAAAUGACGGUACCUGACUAAGAAGCCCCGGCUAACUACGUGCCAGCAGCCGCGGUAAUACGUAGGGGGCAAGCGUUAUCCGGAUUUACUGGGUGUAAAGGGAGCGUAGACGGCAUGGCAAGUCUGAAGUGAAAUGCGGGGGCUCAACCCCUGAACUGCUUUGGAAACUGUCAGGCUGGAGUGCAGGAGAGGUAAGUGGAAUUCCUAGUGUAGCGGUGAAAUGCGUAGAUAUUAGGAGGAACACCAGUGGCGAAGGCGGCUUACUG
rnacentral:rRNA from 1 species